rnacentral:rRNA from 1 species
UACGUAGGGUGCGAGCGUUGUCCGGAAUUAUUGGGCGUAAAGAGCUCGUAGGCGGCUUGUCGCGUCGGAUGUGAAAGCCCGGGGCUUAACCCCGGGUCUGCAUUCGAUACGGGCAGGCUAGAGUUCGGUAGGGGAGAUCGGAAUUCCUGGUGUAGCGGUGAAAUGCGCAGAUAUCAGGAGGAACACCGAUGGCGAAGGCAGAUCUCUGGGCCGUAACUGACGCUGAGGAGCGAAAGCAUGGGGAGCGAACAGG